UACGUAGGGCGCAAGCGUUGUCCGGAAUUAUUGGGCGUAAAGAGCUCGUAGGCGGUCUGUCGCGUCCGUUGUGAAAACUCGAGGCUCAACCUCGGGCUUGCAGUGGAUACGGGCAGACUAGAGUGCGGUAGGGGAGACUGGAAUUCCUGGUGUAGCGGUGGAAUGCGCAGAUAUCAGGAGGAACACCGAUGGCGAAGGCAGG
rnacentral:rRNA from 1 species